rnacentral:rRNA from 1 species
UGGGGAAUUUUGGACAAUGGGCGCAAGCCUGAUCCAGCCAUGCCGCGUGCGGGAAGAAGGCCUUCGGGUUGUAAACCGCUUUUGUCAGGGAAGAAAUCUUCUGAGUUAAUACCUCGGGAGGAUGACGGUACCUGAAGAAUAAGCACCGGCUAACUACGUGCCAGCAGCCGCGGUAAUACGUAGGGUGCAAGCGUUAAUCGGAAUACUGGGCGUAAAGCGUGCGCAGGCGGUUUUGUAAGACAGAGGUGAAAUCCCCGGGCUCAACCUGGGAACUGCCUUUGUGACUGCAAGGCUUGAGUGCGGCAGAGGGGGAUGGAAUUCCGCGUGUAGCAGUGAAAUGCGUAGAUAUGCGGAGGAACACCGAUGGCGAAGGCAAUCCCCUGGGCCUGCACUGACGCUCAUGCACGAAAGCGUGGGGAGCAAACAGGAUUAGAUACCCUGGUAGUCCACGCCCUAAACGAUGUCAACUGGUUGUUGGGAAGGUUCCUUCUCAGUAACGUAGCUAACGCGUGAAGUUGACCGCCUGGGGAGUACGGCCGCAAGGUUGAAAC